ACGUUAGCGGCGGACGGGUGAGUAACACGUGGGUAACCUACCUAUAAGACUGGGAUAACUUCGGGAAACCGGAGCUAAUACCGAUAAUAUUUCGAACCGCAUGGUUCGAUAGUGAAAGGUGGUUUUGCUAUCACUUAUAGAUGGACCCGCGCCGUAUUAGCUAGUUGGUAAGGUAACGGCUUACCAAGGCGACGAUACGUAGCCGACCUGAGAGGGUGAUCGGCCACACUGGAACUGAGACACGGUCCAGACUCCUACGGGAGGCAGCAGCA
rnacentral:rRNA from 1 species